GGGCCGGUAGCUCAGCUUGGUUAGGUUGCUAAAGGCAGCACUAAGGAGCACACGGCUGAUAACCGUGGGGUCAUGGGUUCAAAUCCCACCCGGCCCACCA
rnacentral:tRNA from 1 species